CAGCCGCCGCGGUAACACCGGCAGCUCUAGUGGUAGCAAUUUUAUUGGGCCUAAAGCGUCCGUAGCCGGUUUAAUAAGUCUCUGGUGAAAUCCUGCAGCUUAACUGUGGGAAUUGCUGGAGAUACUAUUAGACUUGAGACCGGGAGAGGUUAGAGGUACUCCCAGGGUAGAGGUGAAAUUCUGUAAUCCUGGGAGGACCGCCUGUUGCGAAGGCGUCUAACUGGAACGGUUCUGACGGUGAGGGACGAAAGUUAGGGGCGCGAACCGGAUUAGAUACCCGGGUAGCCCUAACUGUAAACGAUGCGGACUUGGUGUUGGGUGGCUUUGAGCUGCUUCAGUGCCGAAGGGAAGCUGUUAAGUCCGCCGCCUGGGAAGUACGGUCGCAAGACUGAAACUUAAGGGAAUUGGCGGGGGAGCACCACAACGCGUGGAGCCUGCGGUUUAAUUGGAUUCAACGCCGGACAUCUCACCAGAGGCGACAGCUGUAUGAUAGCCAGGUUGAUGACUUUGCUUGACUAGCUGAGGGGAGGUGCAUGG
rnacentral:rRNA from 1 species